GGGGAUGUAGCUCAGUGGUAGAGCACAUGCUUUGUAUGGUUGAGGUCCUGGGUUUGAUCCCCAGCAUCUCCA